rnacentral:rRNA from 1 species
CAGCAGCCGCGGUAAUACGAAGGGUGCAAGCGUUAAUCGGAAUUACUGGGCGUAAAGCGUGCGUAGGCGGUGAGUUAAGUCUGCUGUGAAAUCCCCGGGCUCAACCUGGGAAUGGCAGUGGAUACUGGCUCGCUAGAGUGUGUCAGAGGAUGGUGGAAUUCCCGGUGUAGCGGUGAAAUGCGUAGAGAUCGGGAGGAACAUCAGUGGCGAAGGCGGCCAUCUGGGACAACACUGACGCUGAGGCACGAAAGCGUGGGGAGCAAACAGGAUUAGAUACCCCAGUAGUCCCUGUCUCUUAUAA